rnacentral:rRNA from 1 species
UUACGGGAGGCAGCAGUGAGGAAUUGUUCGCAAUGGGCGCAAGCCUGACGACGCAACGCCGCGUGGAGGAUGAAGGUCUUCGGAUUGUAAACUCCUGUUGCCCGGGACGAAAAGCUUCGACCUAACACGUCGAAGUCUGACGGUACCGGGUGAGGAAGCCCCGGCUAACUCUGUGCCAGCAGCCGCGGUAAUACAGAGGGGGCAAGCGUUGUUCGGAAUUACUGGGCGUAAAGGGCGCGUAGGCGGCCUGUUAAGUCGGACGUGAAAUCCCCGGGCUCAACCCGGGAACUGCGUCCGAUACUGGCAGGCUUGAAUCCGGGAGAGGGAUGUGGAAUUCCAGGUGUAGCGGUGAAAUGCGUAGAUAUCUGGAGGAACACCGGUGGCGAAGGCGGCAUCCUGGACCGGUAUUGACGCUGAGGCGCGAAAGCCAGGGGAGCAAACGGGAUUAGAUACCCUGGUAGC